UACGAAGGGGGCUAGCGUUGCUCGGAAUUACUGGGCGUAAAGGGCGCGUAGGCGGAUGUCUAAGUUGGGGGUGAAAUCCCGGGGCUCAACCUCGGAACCGCCUUCAAUACUGGAUAUCUUGAGUUCGGGAGAGGUGAGUGGAAUGCCGAGUGUAGAGGUGAAAUUCGUAGAUAUUCGCAAGAACACCAGUGGCGAAGGCGGCUCACUGGCCCGGUACUGACGCUGAGGUGCGAAAGCGUGGGGAGCAAACAGG
rnacentral:rRNA from 1 species